rnacentral:rRNA from 1 species
GACAGAGGUGCCGAGCGUUAGGCGGAAUCACUGGGCUUAAAGCGUGUGUAGGCGGGCCGCUGAGUACCUUGUGAAAUCCCCCGGCUCAACCGGGGAACGGCUGGGUAUACUGGCGGCCUUGAGUCACCUAGGGGCCAGCGGAACAAACGGUGGAGCGGUGAAAUGCGUAGAGAUCUGGAGGAACACCGAUGGCGAAGGCAGCCUUCUGGGCCAACACUGACGCUCAUGCACGAAAGCGUGGGGAGCAAACAGG